UCUCAAAAAUAAAUAAACAAAUUUUUAAAGACUACUAGGAACAAUUAUAUGCCAACAAAUUGGAUAACCUAGAAGAAAAGGAUACAUUCCUAUAAACGUACAACCUAUCAAGUUUGAAUAAUGAAGAA